GACGAACGCUGGCGGCGUGCCUAAUACAUGCCAGUUGAGCGCUGAAGGUUGGUACUUGUACCAACUGGAUGAGCAGCGAACGGGUGAGUAACGCGUGGGGAAUCUGCCUUUGAGCGGGGGACAACAUUUGGAAACGAAUGCUAAUACCGCAUAAAAACUUUAAACACAAGUUUUAAGUUUGAAAGAUGCAAUUGCAUCACUCAAAGAUGAUCCCGCGUUGUAUUAGCUAGUUGGUGAGGUAAAGGCUCACCAAGGCGAUGAUACAUAGCCGACCUGAGAGGGUGAUAGGCCACAUUGGGACUGAGACGCGGCCCAAACUCCUACGGGAGGCAGCAGUAGGGAAUCUUCGGCAAUGGAAGAAAGUCUGACCGAGCAACGCCGCGUGAGUGAAGAAGGGUUUCGGAUCGUAAAAAUCUGUUGGUAGAGAAGAACGUUGGUGAGAGUGGAAAGCUCAUCAAGUGACGGUAACUACACAGAAAGGGACGGCUAACUACGUG
rnacentral:rRNA from 1 species